CUACGGGUGGCACCAGUGGGGAAUAUUGCACAAUGGGCGAAAGCCUGAUGCAGCAACGCCGCGUGAGGGACGACGGCCUUCGGGUUGUAAACCUCUUUUAGCAGGGAAGAAGCGAAAGUGACGGUACCUGCAGAAAAAGCACCGGCUAACUACGUGCCAGCAGCCGCGGUAAUACGUAGGGUGCAAGCGUUGUCCGGAAUUAUUGGGCGUAAAGAGCUCGUAGGCGGUUUGACGCGUCUGCUGUGAAAAUCCGAGGCUCAACCUCGGACCUGCAGUGGGUACGGGCAAACUAGAGUGCGGUAGGGGAGAUUGGAAUUCCUGGUGUAGCGGUGGAAUGCGCAGAUAUCAGGAGGAACACCAAUGGCGAAGGCAGAUCUCUGGGCCGUAACUGACGCUGAGGAGCGAAAGCGUGGGGAGCGAACAGGAUUAGAUACCCUGGUAGUC
rnacentral:rRNA from 1 species